rnacentral:ncRNA from 1 species
UGACCUUACUAUCAGCUUUAACUAAAUUUACACAUGCCAGUCUCCGCACCCCUGUGAGGAUGCCCUUAAUCCCCUGCCCGGGGCUGAGGAGCUGGCAUCAGGCACACAUUGUAGCCCAAGACGCCUUGCUAAGCCACACCCCUACGGGUACUCAGCAGUGAUAAAUAUUAAGUGAUAAGCGAAAGCUUGACUUAGUUAUUGUUAAAAGGGCCGGUAAAACUCGUGCCAGCCACCGCGGUUAUACGAGAGGCCCUAGUUGAUAAUUGUCGGCGUAAAGAGUGGUUUAGAAAAUAAUUUAAUAAAGCCGAACACCUCCUCAGUUGUUAUACACAUUUGAAGAUAUGAAGCCCUACCGCGAAAGCAGCUUUAAGUAUCCUGAACCCACGACAGCUAUGGUACAAACUGGGAUUAGAUACCCCACUAUGCAUAGCCAUAAAUUUUGAUAAAAAUAUACAAUUUUAUCCGCCAGGGAACUACAAGCAUCAGCUUAAAACCCAAAGGACUUGGCGGUGCUUCAGACCCACCUAGAGGAGCCUGUUCUAUAACCGAUAACCCCCGCUUAACCUCACCAGCCCUUGUUCACCCCGCCUAUAUACCACCGUCGCCAGCUUAUCCUGUGAAGGUCCCAUAAUAAGCAAAAUGGGUAAAACCCAGAACGUCAGGUCGAGGUGUAGCGCAUGAGCUGGGAAGAAAUGGGCUACAUUUUCUAAUUCAGAAUAUACGAACUACACUGUGAAACCAGUGCCCAAAGGUGGAUUUAGCAGUAAACAGAAAAUAGAGUGUUCUCUUGAAACUGGCUCUGAAGCGCGCACACACCGCCCGUCACUCUCUCCAAGUUCAACCCUAUUAUUAAAUAAAAAAUAUAUCGAACAAAGGAGAGGCAAGUCGUAACAUGGUAAGUGUACCGGAAGGUGCACUUAGUUUAAUCAGAGUGUAGCUAAAUAGAAAAGCACCUCCCUUACACUGAGAAGACACCUGUGCAAAUCAGGUCACCCUGAGCUGAUUAGCUCGCCGACACACCCGGAUUAAAACCCCAACAUAUAUACCCCAACAAACCUUUAAAAAAAUCAACAAACCAUUUUUCCUCCUUAGUAUAGGCGAUAGAAAAGGAAAUACCGAGCAAUAGAAAAAGUACCGUAAGGGAAAGCUGAAAAAGAAGUGAAACAAGUCAUCAAGCCUGAAA